AUUGAACGCUGGCGGCAGGCCUAACACCUGCCAGUCGAACGUGUGGCGGCCGGGUGAGUUAUGUCUGGGUAGCUGCCUGAUGGAGGGGGAUAACUACUGGCCACGGUAGCUAAUAUCGCAUACCAUCAGAUGUGCCCAGAUGGGAUUAGCUUGUGGGUGGGGUAACGGCGCAACAAGGCGACGACCCCUAGCUGGUCUGAGAUGAGGACCAGCCACACUGGAACUGAGACACGGUCCAGACUCCUACGGCAGGCAGCGAUGGGGAAUAUUGCACAAUGGGCGCAAGCCUGAUGCAGCCAGGCCGCGGGUAUGAAGAAGGCCUUCGGGUGGUAAAGUACUGUCAGCGGGGAGGCGUUACCCGCAGGAGAAGCACCGGCUAACUCCGUGCCAGCAGCCGCGGUAAUUC
rnacentral:rRNA from 1 species